rnacentral:rRNA from 1 species
GACAGAGGGUGCAAACGUUGUUCGGAAUUACUGGGCGUAAAGCGCACGUAGGCGGCUUUCUAAGUCGGGGGUGAAAUCCUGGAGCUCAACUCCAGAACUGCCUUCGAUACUGGAGAGCUUGAGUCCGGGAGAGGUGAGUGGAACUGCGAGUGUAGAGGUGAAAUUCGUAGAUAUUCGCAAGAACACCAGUGGCGAAGGCGGCUCACUGGCCCGGUACUGACGCUGAGGUGCGAAAGCGUGGGGAGCAAACAGG